rnacentral:rRNA from 1 species
UAACCUGCCCAAGAGAUCGGGAUAACACCUGGAAACAGAUGCUAAUACCGGAUAACAACAGAUGAUGCCUAUCAACUGUUUAAAAGAUGGUUCUGCUAUCACUCUUGGAUGGACCUGCGGUGCAUUAGCUAGUUGGUAGGGUAACGGCCUACCAAGGCGAUGAUGCAUAGCCGAGUUGAGAGACUGAUCGGCCACAUUGGGACUGAGACACGGCCCAAACUCCUACGGGAGCAGCAGGC